GAAACGCAAGGAGUAGUAUAGAGUGAGUACACCUUGAUGGAGGAGGCUCAGGUUGAAAUCCUGACUAUUGCGUUACAUCUUAGCCCCUUAAUUGGGGUUUUUUUGUG
rnacentral:sRNA from 25 species